rnacentral:rRNA from 1 species
GUAUACUGGCGGACGGGUGAGUAACGCGUAGGCAACCUGCCCUUACGGAUGGGAUAACCCAGCGAAAGUUGGACUAAUACCGUAUAAAGCGACUGUAUUACCUGAUAUAGUUGUCAAAGGUUGCUUUUCGGAGCAAUCGCGUAAGGAUGGGCCUGCGUUCCAUUAGCUAGUUGGUGAGGUAACGGCUCACCAAGGCGACGAUGGAUAGCUGGUUUGAGAGAGUGAUCAGCCACACUGGGACUGAGAUACGGCCCAGACUCCUACGGGAGGCAGCAGUGAGGAAUAUUGCGCAAUGGAGGAAACUCUGACGCAGCAACGCCGCGUGGGGGAUGAAGUUCUAUGGAGUGUAAACCCCUGUAAGUAGGGACGAAAGUUAUAUAUUCGAAUAGGGUAUAUAUAUGACGGUACCUACAGAGUAAGCUCCGGCUAACUCCGUGCCAGCAGCCGCGGUAAUACGGGGGGAGCAAGCGUUGUCCGGAAUUACUGGGCGUAAAGGGCGUGUAGGCGGUUUAAUAAGUCAGAUGUAAAAGCCCCCGGCUUAACCGGGGAUUGUCAUUUGAAACUGUUAGGCUUGAGUGCGAGAGAGGGUAGUGGAAUUCCCAGUGUAGCGGUGAAAUGCGUAGAUAUUGGGAAGAACACCAGUAGCGAAGGCGGCUACCUGGCUCGCAACUGACGCUAAGGCGCGAAAGCGUGGGGAGCAAACAGGAUUAGAUACCCUGGUAGUCCACGCUGUAAACGAUGAACACUAGGUGUUGGUUUGCCGUAGGCUGAUCAGUGCCGCAG